AAGAGUUGUUUGCUUCAGAAAUGCACUUUGCCUGAUAAACUCCCAGAACAAUAACUGUGUCCCUCUCUAGGUGUGCACUUGUUUGUGCCAUGAAGAAUUGGGCACAGAGUGCUGCUGACACACAGCUUUCAAAGCAAAGGAAAAUCAUUAUUCAUCAUGGAUCUAGUCAAACAUCUCACGACCACAUCCAUAGCACGUACUUUGACCAAAAAGUCUCUAUAAAAAACAAUCCCAGAAAGAAAAUGUAAAGAUAAAAUGCUCUGAUAGCACAGGUCUUGGGCUAAAGCCAAACCAACAUCACCAAGAAGAAGAAUUCCUUCUGCUACUGCUGUACUGUACAAGCAAAGAAAGUUUACAAUGGUAAUCACACCCAAUUUUUUUUC
rnacentral:lncRNA from 1 species